rnacentral:rRNA from 1 species
CACAGAGGCCAUACCACCCAGAACGCGGCCGAUCUCUGAUCUCGGAAGCUAAGCAGGGUAGGGCCUGGAUGGUACUUGGAUGGCAGACCACCUGGCAAUACCGGGUGCUGUUGGCU